UACGUAGGGACCAAGCGUUGUUCGGAUUUACUGGGCGUAAAGGGCGCGUAGGCGGCAAUUCAAGUCAGUUGUGAAAUCUCCGAGCUUAACUCGGAACGGUCAACUGAUACUGUUUUGCUAGAGUACAGAAGGGGCAAUCGGAAUUCUUGGUGUAGCGGUGAAAUGCGUAGAGAUCGGGAGGAACACCAGUGGCGAAGGCGGCUACCUGGACCAGCACUGACACUGAAGCACGAAAGCGUGGGGAGCAAACAGG
rnacentral:rRNA from 1 species